rnacentral:rRNA from 1 species
UACGAGGGGGGCGAGCGUUGUUCGGAAUUAUUGGGCGUAAAGGGUGCGUAGGCGGCUUCCUAAGUUUGAUGUGAAAUCCUGGGGCUCAACCCUGGAACUGCAUUGAAUACUGGGAGGCUAGAGUACUGGAGAGGAAACUGGAAUUUACGGUGUAGCGGUGAAAUGCGUAGAUAUCGUAAGGAAGACCAGUGGCGAAGGCGGGUCUCUGGACAGUUCCUGACGCUGAGGCACGAAGGUCAGGGGAGCAAACGGG